AGAGCUUGGGCAGGUUAGCAACCUGUCACUGACAGCCUGCAAGGUUGAAUUUAAACCUACAGAAACAUGGCUGCAGAUGCUGAGAUGCGUCCAGGGAAAUGUUGCUUUCAGGUGGAGCUAAAUGAGAGUUCACAGGAAACGUCUCCUUCAUGAUAUACAGCCAGAAGACAAGGGAGAUUUUUCCCAGAGGGCAAAGCCAGGGUCAGAGAAAAGAAACCCCCAGUCUAAGCAGCAGGGCCUCAUUCCUGCUGUCUGCAGGAUGAAAUGUGGCCUGCCUCCUCCAUCCGUGACUUUACAGAGCAGACGGCAGUUUGCCUUUCUUCCUCCCCCACCGCACAGCGCACGUGUUCAGAGCAGACAUCUUAGCUUUUCAACAAGUGCUCAUAAGGACAUGUGGACUGGAGACCUGGCCUUUGAUCUCCACUAGGAGCUAGAUGACAGUUCCGACCUGUUUCUGUAGAAGAAAGGAUCAGUGUCCCGUGUGAACUGAGAGAGGGAGAAUGGAAGAGCUUCGGAUCAAAGAUGGACCUGCCACCAAUGCCAUUAUGACAUGUGACGUCACCAUCCAGGCACAUGAAUUCUGGAAUCAUUCUGUGAAGGAAGGAACCCUUAGAGCCAAAUCCUUUCUCUCCAGUGCUCAGAGCAUGGGAGUUUUCUGCUGUCUUUGGAACUUUGUCUGCAAACAGCUUGAAGGAAAUGUGGCCCAAGGGCUCUUUAUCGGCUGAGAAGUCAAAGAACAGGGUGGGGUUGACCUUGGCUGCAGCAAGCAGUGAAAAAUCGACAUUGGUGUCUGCAAAGCCCCCCAUUGCUUCUUACACUGCCUCUGCCAUGUCUUUCCACCAUGAUGAACAGUGCCGCCACAAGCCAGGGAGAAAGGACCAGGAGUAUAGAUGGGAAGCUCUGAAAUGGUGAGCCAGAAUAAGUCCUUUCUCCUGUAAGCUAUUUAUUUUGGCUAUUUUGUUACAGUGAUUUAGAGUGUUGAUGGACACACCCAUGGCCUGUCUCUUCUACCUCAUUUGACCCCAAGGAACAAAGGUUGCACAGUCUGUGGAAGAGGAAAAUGCAGAAUAUGAGUUGAGAUUUGUGAAGAUAUAAUGGGCAGAGCUGACUCUUUCCUCUUCCCUAUUGCUGGCUGUAUCGAUGGACAGACGCCGGGGAGAUUAAAGUUUUCAUUUUUAUCACACUGUACUCAUUAAUCCUGGACCCAAUAAGAAAACCCUUUUAAAAUCUGAAAAGGUUUGAAAAUCUUUGGGAUAUGCUGAAGCCCUCUCUUCCUGGGGUAGAGAAGGAAGAUCUGACAGAAGAUACCCAAAGAUCAAAGUACGAGAGAAAGGAAGGCGCCUCCUGCCUGCAUCCCACUGAGCUGGCUCAUUCUAAAGGCUGUUAUCUCUCACAUCCCGCAGAGAAGCUGGAGGGAGAGGCAGCUCAUACAUAGAGGUCUCAGGUAAAUGCUGCACUGGAGAGAAUUUGAAUCUCUGUGUACAUCCAUCACGGGAUGUGCUUUGAUGUGGAUAAUUUGCGUCCCAGAAUAGCUGGUUACUCCACAGCUCACAGAUCUGUGUACACAGGAUCUGUGUACUUCACUGUUAAAUUUUCAACCUCUAGGCACCAAACAUGAGUCUUACUCAAACAUGAUGACAAGUCCUCACACCUUAGUAAGUCUUUCUUGUAUGUGGAAAAACUGCCAAUGCCUGUGUGUGUGUGAUGUAUUGCACAUGUGUGUGCAGCUGUACAUGCUCGUGCGUACAUGGAAGCCAGAAGUGGAUAUCUGAUGUCUUGUUCUGCCCUAUUCCCUCGAGACAGCAUGUUUCACUGAACCUGGGGCUAUGCUGGCAGCCAGCUCCGAGGUUGCAAGUGUACAGGUGGCCAUCCCUGGGGUUUCUUGUGGAAGUGCUAGGGAUUUGAACUCAGGUCCUCAUGCUUGAGCAGCGAGUGCUUUUUAACCACUGAGCCAGCUCCCCUGUAUCAUGAUUUGCUUUUUAUGCUUAAAAUAAAUAUUUUUCUAUUCUUCUGUGUGA